UGGGGAAUAUUGGACAAUGGGCGAAAGCCUGAUCCAGCCAUGCCGCGUGUGUGAAGAAGGUCUUCGGAUUGUAAAGCACUUUAAGUUGGGAGGAAGGGCAUUAACUUAAUACGUUACUGUUUUGACGUUACCGACAGAAUAAGCACCGGCUAACUCUGUGCCAGCAGCCGCGGUAAUACAGAGGGUGCAAGCGUUAAUCGGAAUUACUGGGCGUAAAGCGCGCGUAGGUGGUUUGUUAAGUUGGAUGUGAAAGCCCCGGGCUCAACCUGGGAACUGCAUUCAAAACUGGCAGGCUAGAGUAUGGUAGAGGGUGGUGGAAUUUCCUGUGUAGCGGUGAAAUGCGUAGAUAUAGGAAGGAACACCAGUGGCGAAGGCGACCACCUGGACUAAUACUGACACUGAGGUGCGAAAGCGUGGGGAGCAAACA
rnacentral:rRNA from 1 species